CAGUCGCCGCGGGAAUACGUAGGUGGCAAGCGUUGUCCGGAAUUAUUGGGCGUAAAGGGCUCGCAGGCGGUUUCUUAAGUCUGAUGUGAAAGCCCCCGGCUCAACCGGGGAGGGUCAUUGGAAACUGGGAAACUUGAGUGCAGAGGAGGAGAGUGGAAUUCCACGUGUAGCGGUGAAAUGCGUAGAGAUGUGGAGGAACGCCAGUGGCGAAGGCGACUCUCUGGUCUGUAACUGACGCUGAGGAGCGAAAGCGUGGGGAGCGAACAGGAUUAGAUACCCGGGUAGUCCCUGUCUCUUAUAC
rnacentral:rRNA from 1 species